UGUUGCUCUCAUCUUCUGCUGAUUUGAACUUUGGAGAGGAGACGUCAGUGCAGUGUUAUCAAGUGAAAAAGCUGUGCUGGUGGGUUCAAAGCAUAUUCUCAAGGUGCUGCUGUGAGGACAGUUCAUUUUCUGGCCUGAAAAGGAAGUCAGAGGAGAAG